CCCUGCAUUGGGAAGUGAUCGUGGGCUGGCUGUGCCCUGGUCACUGGUAGUGCCGGCAGAGGAGUUGCUGAAAGCGUUUCCCCGUGUUAGGAGGGUUCACUCCUGUCCCUUCCGAACUCUGGAGCUGUCCCACA
ensembl:snoRNA SNORA71 Small nucleolar RNA SNORA71